UCAAACUUGGUCAUUUAGAGGAAGUAAAAGUCGUAACAAGGUUUCCGUAGGUGAACCUGCGGAAGGAUCAUUGAUGAAAUUCAAGGCGGUGUCUGACUGUGCUGGCCCCUCGGGGCAUGUGCACGUCUGGCGUCGUCCAUCUCACACACACCUCGUGCACACUCUGGAAGGUGCAGCGCGUUUGUAGGGUUUGCCGGCAUUGGCCGGCUCUCUCGGGAGCGUGUUGCCCUUCCACCCUUUCAUACACACCUUUGAUGCGUCCCGCGUGUCUUACGAAUGUAACCAAUACAACUUUCAACAACGGAUCUCUUGGCUCUCGCAUCGAUGAAGAACGCAGC
rnacentral:misc_RNA from 1 species